UGGCGGCCGUGGGAUCCAGAGAGGACUUCAGCCAGCUUCAGGGACAAGAAACAGAGACCUGGUACCUGCAAACCCCUUGAGUUCUCUUUGUCACCAUCUCUGAGGGCCCUGGAGCCCACAGAUGGGAAUCCUGGAAAAAGAAGGGUGAGAAUCCUUACCUGAGUUUGCUCUCCCAAGUUACUGCGGCCCACUCAAGAGAGGAAGGAAUCAAAGUUGUUCUCAUCAGAAGGGAAAAACUGUGGCAGAGUGGUGUUCUCCAAGGUGGAAAAUGUUGUCUUCACAAGUAUCAGUGAAAAGUUGAAGUCCCCUUGACUCACCCUUUUACCAGAAGCAUGAUGUGAAUGUGAUCCUCUUAUAAAUGGACCCUUGAUUGUUUUACUCUGAUGAUUCUGCAAAACUGAAACGCAUGGAAAGAACCCUACCAAGAACUCUGGACCGCUGACAUUCCUGCCAAAUUAGAAGGUGUUGAACCUGGGGUGCCUAUGUCACAACUGAGGAAGGCUCCACCUGACUUUGGGUCCGGUACAAAAGCCGGAGACCUCAAACUCAAAUGCACCAGCAAGAGAGGUCGACUCUUACCCCCCAUCUUGGGAAGAAGCAAAGUUUCUUUCCUCGUUCGCUUUCUGAUCAUCUUUUACCUAAGUCUUACUCCCUGAAGGGUCUUCAAGAUUUUGUCCACCAUUUUCCUUGCCCCGCCCUGAAAAGGUAAUGUGCUUGUUCACAUAGCUCAGGCCACUGCAGAGAGAAAGGUGAUCUAACCUCCAAAAGACUGGAUUUCCCAUGGUGCUUGUGAUCCCAUAGUUCUGCCCGUCACAAACUUCUGCCUCACUCCCACUGCUUCGGUUUCUCCGGGCCAAACCCAGCCCCUUCUCCGUCAUGUCACAGUCCCCGGUUAAGAACCUCUGACCCAGGGAACUUGGCA